UACGUAGGUGGCAAGCGUUGUCCGGAUUUACUGGGCGUAAAGGGAGCGUAGGCGGAUUUUUAAGUGGGAUGUGAAAUACCCGGGCUUAACCUGGGUGCUGCAUUCCAAACUGGAAGUCUAGAGUACAGGAGGGGAAAGCGGAAUUCCUAGUGUAGCGGUGAAAUGCGUAGAGAUUAGGAAGAACACCAGUGGCGAAGGCGGCUUUCUGGACUGUAACUGACGCUGAGGCUCGAAAGCGUGGGGAGCGAACAGGAUUAGAUACCCGCGUAGUCCCUGAGCGGGCU
rnacentral:rRNA from 1 species